CAGCCGCCACGGGAAAACGAAGGGGGCUAGCGUUGUUCGGAUUUACUGGGCGUAAAGCGCACGUAGGCGGACUUUUAAGUCAGGGGUGAAAUCCCGGGGCUCAACCCCGGAACUGCCUUUGAUACUGGGAGUCUUGAGUUCGAGAGAGGUGAGUGGAAUUGCGAGUGUAGAGGUGAAAUUCGUAGAUAUUCGCAGGAACACCAGUGGCGAAGGCGGCUCACUGGCUCGAUACUGACGCUGAGGUGCGAAAGCGUGGGGAGCAAGCAGGAUUAGAUACCCCAGUAGUCCCUGUCUCUUAUAC
rnacentral:rRNA from 1 species